rnacentral:rRNA from 1 species
GACGAACGCUGGCGGCGUGCUUAACACAUGCAAGUCGAGCGGUAAGGCCCUUUCGGGGGUACACGAGCGGCGAACGGGUGAGUAACACGUGGGUGACCUGCCCUCAGCUCUGGGAUAAGCCUGGGAAACCGGGUCUAAUACUGGAUAUGACUCCAUGACGCAUGUUGUGGGGUGGAAAGCCUUGUGCGGCUGAGGAUGGGCCCGCGGCCUAUCAGCUUGUUGGUGGGGUGANGGCCUACCAAGGCGACGACGGGUAGCCGGCCUGAGAGGGCGACCGGCCACACUGGGACUGAGACACGGCCCAGACUCCUACGGGGGCAGCAGUGGGGAAUAUUGCGCAAUGGGCGGAAGCCUGACGCAGCGACGCCGCGUGAGGGAUGAC